UAAGAAAGAAAUCACUCAGAAGCUUGACUAGGCUUGCUCACAUGUAGUUACAUUUAGCUGUAAUCUGCCUGGUCAGUUGUAGGAGAAAAAUAGCACUAGUUUGAACUGGAUUGAGUAGCAACGAGACUUUAAUUUGGGGCAGCAGAGAGAAAAUUGUAUAACACUGUUGUGCUGUCCUGAGUGGGAGAACAAUCCAGUGAAUUGCAUGAUUUUUCCGUCUUUGUAAUCAGUUUGUUAUGCAUAGAGCAGUGCCGUGGGAUUCAGCAUUUUAUCUGCUGGGCUUUCCCUGGCAGCAUCUGAAGACGUUCAUUAUAAGUGUUUAUCACAUGAUCCACUUAAUCAAACCACUGAAACUUGGAGAAUAAGUCAUUUUUACAAGACCCUUCAGAGCUGCCUUAUAAGCUACUUACUGAUAUACUCUUCCUUGGUGAGUGUACAAUGAGUUUCCUUGUAUCCCGGUCUAUGAUACAGGAAGUUCAUUAUCCCCAGUCCGAAUUCAGACAUAAAGAAAGGAAGCAGGUCUUACAAAGAAGUGACAGAUAAUUUGCAAAGGAUUUUAGUUAGCCACUCAAAUCGCAGAUAGAGUCAGACUGUAAGCUCUUCAUAAGAACAGCCUUCUGGUAUUCAGCAUUAGGCAUGAGGCAGCUAUCUACAUAGCUGUUUCUAAUGUUGUAAAACACAGACAACACAUGAAAAAAUAUUUUCUUCUUUUGAUUACGGGUCUCCUAGUGGAAGCAUGUGAGAAAAAAGAGAAAUCAGAACUGAACCCAUGUUUUUGGUGGGGUGGUAGCACUGCAUGAUAGCCAGAGCUGAUAACUGAGCUGAUGCAAAAUGCCUUGAAAGCCUGCUAAAUCCAGCUUGCACUAAGGGCCCAAUUUGGCUUUGCCUUCAUGGACAGCAGCAACUAUCACCUGUCUGCCACGGCAAUAGAUGCCUCUGCUUGCUCCAGAUGUCCUUCUCCUGCAGACUAGAGAACACCUCUUGCUAAAAGGAUCGUUGAAACAGAAGAAUAGAAAUAAUCACUGGACCAUUUAAUGUAACCUUGUGUAUCACGUGGUGCAGGAGUUACUUAAUGAAAUUCCCUGGCCCAAACCAAGCAAAUCUGUGGUAAAUCUAGAGCACAUAUUUUCGGAUGACAGCCAAAAUGAUGAAAGGAAUUUACUACCCAGCCUCUCUAAUCAUUUUGAAUGCUUAACUGGGCUCCCUAAUAUGCUGCUUUGCAAGCAGCAAAACUCCCUACACAUUUCUCCAGCCUUGCCCAGGCUGUGCACCUGAAAAAACCUCCCAGCACCCUGCCAGCCCUGUCCAAGGGCAGGGUGGCCAACUGUGCCUGCUGUGAGUGCUGGAUGGGCAGCUGCCCUCCUCUGGGAAGAGACCUCUGCAGGCCAGAACCUCUGCUGCCUCUCCCUUCAAAGCAUGCGGGUUUGGGGCUUGCUCUUUGCUCAGCUUAUUUAAAAAUCUAAAGAAAAGAGUUCUGCCCCAUCAGCUUUGGAAAUAGUUGUUUAACAUGGGAGAGAACAAGCUGAGCCUGCGUAACCCAAGACAACCAAUUCCUUUAGCAGAAAGUGUCUUCUGUCAUCAAAAAGAGCCAUCUGGAAGAGCGUUGGCUCUGUGCCAGGAACAACCCUUUAGCAACUGCUCAACAUACACUUUAAGUUAUAAUGUUCAUAACGGCACAACCUGGAGUGUUGGUAAAGGGCCUAUUGGAGGAGCAACAUAUUCCUCCUCCCGCAGUAACCGCAAAAGGAUGUUCUUCUUAUUCUUUGGCCAGUUAUAAAUGUGGGUGUUCUGCAGCCAGGUAGGCACAUGUUCCUGAAAAAACAAGGAAAAUAAACACUAAAUCCUGUAAAUCCUCCUGAAUCUGUACCAGAACCUUGCAGAUUCUGUCAGGCCCUGCCAAGCAAGAUUUCAUUUUGUCUGUUCUAGGCACUUCCUGUAACAACAAGAAAUUUUAAUUUGGCUUCAGAAUUGUAUUUGGGUUCCUAAAUAAAUGAACUUUGUGUGAUCUCACAGCUUGCCUGUCUCUCUUUCUCUUCUGCCAUCAUGUUGGCUAAUUUCGCAUUUCAAAGGAAGUCUCAUCUCAGUGACAGGCAUCGAAAGGCUUGUGAAAAUAAACACUGAGAAGAGAAGGAAGACAUUUCAGUGUCCUGUGCAGGGAAAGGCUGCCACCUUAGUAGCUGCUAAAGGAUCCAGACAACAUGUUCAACCUUGGAAUGAGAAUCAAUAGGGAAAGAGCGGGACCCCAUGGGAGCAUUUCACAUCUUGGUAGCCCUCUCACCCUCCCCUUGCACCUUCCUUCAACAAGUAUGGUGUUCUCUGACCACCUCCUGAGCAGGAGGUUGAGGCCAAUGCUGAGCUUGAGGAGAGACUAAUGCAUCUCCAGAUUAGCAGGGUCAAACCUCCACCACUCCUUGCACCCUGGGAAAGGUGCAGUCUUUCAUAGGGGUUGGCUAAUGGCCAUUAACAUAAUGAAGCCAGGACCACAAUGGCCCUAGAGAGUGACAGCAGGCUGAUGGAGAGAGACUCACUCAGACUUCAUGUUUGCAUGUUUCCACAGCCUUGUGAGGUUUCCAUAUAGACAGCCUGGAUGUUUAGGGGUGAAGGGCUAUUAUGAUACCAUUAAUUAACAGACAGACUGAUCCUUGAGCAAAACCAGCUCAUGGUCACCAUGAGAUGUAGAUUUCUUUUGGAGAGCUGAAGUUAAAGACACUAGAACACAACCAAAGUGAGAAAGGAGGUAAGCAACACGAGCAGCCAGGACAUCCAGCACUUGCUCCCUGGACCUCUCAUUUAGCAGGCAGUGUUUUCCCAAGGUGGCUCCUGUUAGAAGCAGCACAGUUCCUGUCAAGGUAGUGGAGCUGGCUCCAAGAGGACAGAGCAAAAAGAUGCUGGUGUGAACCACAUCUCUGGCACCUCGCCAGGGGAUGCCCUGGCAUGGGCAGCACAUGUCCUGCCUGCCAGCAAACAAUCUAGCUGCAGUCCAAAUCUUUCUUUUCCAAGUAUCGUGCUUCUCAAAUUGGAUGUCUUUUCCUUGGCCUGUUCAGCUGUAGGAAUGAAGCUGCAUCACUUUCCCUGCUCAGGGAGCAGUUUGUGUUAAUUGUUGCAACCACUUUGUUAGAUCUAUAGCAUUUAUGUAUAGGAAGAAAGAGGUACCUCACUUUCUCUGACUGCCUAUGGAUUUCAUUACUGCAGCUUGUUCAGGCUCUGGUGCUCUCCUUCCACCCAUGACGUCCUCAGUUACAUUAUCAUUAACUAGCUGGAUGAAGAAGAGAGAAGAAGGAAAUCACUGGAAGCCAAUGACUGAGUUGUCCCAGGCUGGUACAGCGCAAAGCUGAAGACCACAGUGAGCCACCAAAUUGACCUUUGCCCUUGAGCAGGAGAGCUCUAAGGUUUCAACUGAGAUAUUUUUCAACCCUUCAUCCCUUUAACCUUCAAGCAUUUAUCUUUCUUAAUGUGUGCAUUUCAGGGUGUGCUGUAACAACAUAUCAGGUAUCUGGCUUUGAAGUUCUCUGAGGUAAGGUCAGGCCCCCAUUGGGUGUAAAAUAGCAAAUAAAGAAAACGACCCAGCAUCUCACAUGCCCCCCUGCAGCCCGGGCACACUCACAGUACAAGGAUUCAGAAUUACUGGUUGGAGCUUCCAGAUUCCCCAACCCCCAGUGCUCCCAGGCAUACUUACGGGAAUCGAGGAGGACCAGGGGAGGAGCAUGUCCUCUGGGGUGGUGGUCGGUCUCCAGUGCCCUUGGGAGCACGAAGGUUUGAGUAAUUUGGGAUGACUUGCUGGGCUGGGCGGAUAACUCUCAUGCAAGGUCCAGGAACAGGAGGAAGUGGUUGCGAUGUCUGUACAAAAUGUUGGUAAGGAGCUCUGCCGUCUGGGAGGGUGAGAAAAUAAAGGCAGCAACUAUCAUUUCAGCCAACACA